rnacentral:rRNA from 1 species
UAGUGGAUGUCAUACUUCCAAGAAAAGCUUGCACUGUCAUAAAUUAAAAACGCCUGUACCAUAACCUACACAGGUGGGUAGGUAGAGUAUACUAAGGGGCGCGAGAUAACUCUCUCUAAGGAACUCGGCAAAAUGACUCCGUAACUUCGGGAGAAGGAGUGCCUUAUUCGUAAGGCUGCAAUAACAAGAUCCAAGCAACUGUUUAUCAAAAACACAGGUCUCCGCUAAGUCGUAAGACGAUGUAUGGGGGCUGACGCCUGCCCAGUGCCAGAAGGUUAAAGAAGUCGGUUAGCAUUAGCGAAGCUGGUAACUGAAGCCCUGGUGAACGGCGGCCGUAACAAUAACGGUCCUAAGGUAGCGAAAUUCCUUGUCGGGUAAGUUCCGACCCGCACGAAAGGCGUAAUGAUUUGGAUACUGUCUCGGAGAGGGGCUCGGUGAAAUAGACUUGUCUGUGAAGAUGCGGACUACCUGCACCAGGACAGAAAGACCCUAUGAAGCUUUACUGUAACUUGAAAUUGAAAUUGGACUUUAUUCGCGCAGUAUAGGUGGGAGGUGUUGAUUAUAAUCUUGCGGGAUUAUUGGAGCCAUCUGUGAGAUACCACUCUUGUAAUGUUAGAUUUCUAACUUUGAAUCAUUAUCUGGUCAAAGAACAGUUUCAGGCGGGCAGUUUGACUGGGCGGUCGCCUCCUAAAUGGUAACGGAGGCGUACAAAGGUUUCCUCUGAACGGGUAGAAAUCGUAUCUAGAGUGUAAAGGCAUAAGGAAGCUUGACUGUGAGACCUACAAGUCGAGCAGGGACGAAAGUCGGUCUUAGUGAUCUGACGGUACUGAGUGGAAAGGCCGUCACUCAACGGAUAAAAGUUACUCUAAGGAUAACAGGCUGAUCUCCCCCAAGAGUUCACAUCGACGGGGAGGUUUGGCACCUUGAUGUCGGCUCAUCGCAUCCUGGGGCGGUAGUACGUCCCAAGGGUUGGGCUGUUCGCCCAUGAAAGCGGUACGCGAGCUGGGUUCAGAACGUCGUGAGACAGUUCGGUCCAUAUCCGGUGUAGGCGUUAGAAUAUUGAGAGGAGCCUUCUUUAGUACGAGAGGACCGAGAAGGACAUACCUCUGGUGUACCAGUUAUCGUGCCAACGGUAAACGCUGGGUAGCUAUGUAUGGAGUGGAUAACCGCUGAAAGCAUCUAAGUGGGAAGCCCACCUCAAGAUAAG